AUUGAACGCUGGCGGAAUGCUUUACACAUGCAAGUCGAACGGCAGCACGGACUUCGGUCUGGUGGCGAGUGGCGAACGGGUGAGUAAUGUAUCAGAACGUGCCCAGUCGUGGGGGAUAACGUAGUGAAAAUUACGCUAAUACCGCAUACGAUCUAUGGAUGAAAGCGGGGGAUCGCAAGACCUCGCGCGAUUGGAGCGGCCGAUAUCAGAUUAGGUAGUUGGUGGGGUAAAGGCCCACCAAGCCAACGAUCUGUAGCUGGUCUGAGAGGACGACCACCCACACUGGAACUGGGACACGGGCCAGACUCCUACGGGAGGCAGCAGUGGGGAAUUUUGGACAAUGGGCGAAAGCCUGAUCCAGCCAUUCCGCGUGCAGGAUGAAGGCCCUCGGGUUGUAAACUGCUUUUGUACAGAACGAAAAGGUUUCUACUAAUACUAGGAGCUCAUGACGGUACUGUAAGAAUAAGCACCGGCUAACUACGUGCCAGCAGCCGCCGCGG
rnacentral:rRNA from 1 species